rnacentral:rRNA from 1 species
CGAGUGGCGAACGGGUGAGUAACGACGUAGGUAACCUGCCCUGUACAGGGGGAUAACAGUCAGAAAUGACUGCUAAUACCGCAUAAGCAUACGAGGAGGCAUCUCCUUGUGUGAAAAACUCCGGUGGUACAGGAUGGGCCCGCGUCUGAUUAGCUUGUUGGCAGGGUAAUGGCCUACCAAGGCGACGAUCAGUAGCCGGUCUGAGAGGAUGAACGGCCACAUUGGAACUGAGACACGGUCCAAACUCCUACGGGAGGCAGCAGUGGGGAAUAUUGCACAAUGGGGGAAACCCUGAUGCAGCAACGCCCGCGUGAGUGAUGAAGUAUUUCGGUAUGUAAAGCUCUAUCAGCAGGGAAGAUGAUGACGGUACCUGACUAAGAAGCUCCGGCUAAAUACGUGCCAGCCGCGGC